GAAAGGCGGCCUAACACGAUAUGCAGUCCACAGAAGGCAUCUGACGCGGACGAAAUGUAAAGGAGAAGGAUGGGGAUGCGUCUGAUUAGCUUGUUGGCGGGGUAACGGCCCACCAAGGCGACGAUCAGUAGGGGUUCUGAGAGGAAGGUCCCCCACAUUGGAACUGAGACACGGUCCAAACUCCUACGGGAGGCAGCAGUGAGGAAUAUUGGUCAAUGGGCGAGAGCCUGUACCAGCCAAGUAGCGUGCAGGAAGACGGCCCUAUGGGUUGUAAACUGCCUUUAUGCGGGGAUAAAGUGAGCCACGUGUGGCUUAUUGCAGGUACCGCAUGAAUAAGGACCGGCUAAUUCCGUGCCAGCAGCCGCGGUAAUACGGAAGGUCCGGGCGUUAUCCGGAUUUAUUGGGUUUAAAGGGAGCGUAGGCCGUCUGGUAAGCGUGUUGUGAAAUGUCGGGGCUCAACCUGGGCAUUGCAGCGCGAACUGUCAGACUUGAGUGCGCGGGAAGUAGGCGGAAUUCGUCGUGUAGCGGUGAAAUGCUUAGAUAUGACGAGGAACUCCGAUUGCGAAGGCAGCCUGCUGUAGCGCAACUGACGCUGAAGCUCGAAACGGGU
rnacentral:rRNA from 1 species